rnacentral:rRNA from 1 species
AAUUCGAUUAAUAUAUAGACAUAGUAGUUCGAUAAUUUAUAUUUAUAUAUAUAUAUAUAUAAAGGAUAGUAAAUAAUAUAACAGGAAGUUAUAAUAUCUAAUUUAAGUAUAGUAAUAGAAAGGUAGAAUUAUAAUAAGUAUUAAUAUACA